CCCGAACAAGGCCGACCGAGGUUCCCAAGGAAGGAUACGGGUUAGUCGGUAUCUCCGUGGCCAAUGCGCUCGAGGCUACCUGUCCCUCUUUGUUGGAAUUAUUGUCAGGCUUUUCCACCCAAACCCCAAAAUAAACAAUGUUAGAAAAGCGUUAGCGGAAGCAUAGAAACAAAUAACAAUCAAAGCAAGGAAGAUAGGACAAGAUAGACAAUACUUGACUCGACACAAGCUAAGACUCUCUAGACUCUCUAGAGUCCUAACAUUCUGAUCCAUUCCUAUACAUAAUUAUCUCUCGUUGAAGCCACAAAGGCAUCCAACCGGAGGAAACGUUUUGGCUAAAUCGUCGUGCAGCUUCAUGGCCUAAUCCCGAGUUAUGUACCAAGCACCAUGGUCAAAAUCUAAGGGACCACAAAGGUCAGCCCUUCGAGACACGCAUCGCCAUUGCCGAGGAAACAUAUUAUUUACUUAAGGAUCAAAUCUACAGAUCUGCAACUAAGGACAUAGAAAAGCAAAAACUUCUACGCAAGAAAACUAAUACUAAAAAGGUCGAUAAACAAGCAAACAAGCAAGCAAUAACAAGCAAUCAUCAAGUAAGCUAAGCACACAACGAACAAGAAAGCAAGGGUUCUUUCAAGGUGAUAAUUCUUGGGUAUAUGAAGAAACUAUCAAGAAAAACCUAUUCAUAUUAGCAUGCAAGUUCGUUUUAGUUGGUUAGAUUUUAGGCAAGCAAACUAUCUUGAAACUAGGCCAGAUCUUUAAACAUGCGAAUUCAUUUUUGCAGAAAAUAUAAGCUAUCAUGCAAGGCUACGAAAUAAAAGCAAGCAAAGCAUGCAAUAGGUGCCGUAAAAAAGUCCGAAGACUUAUGCAGCACCCCACAUAAUUGUACCACAACUCACAGUUCUUAUAGAUGGUUUUGAUCGGGCUCCUUUCUUUCACCGAGGAUUGCUACAAACGGUCUUCUUUUCUUCUUGACCUUCGGUAGCUUUGGUCUCGUACCUUGGCAGCACGGAUCCUUGAACUUCGGCAGCAGUUCACUCGAUAAGGGAGCAGUUUUCUCGAGAAAACGAGAGAACUUCAAGAGAGAUACAGAAAAUCUCGAGAGAAUGAAAGCUUUUUUAUCUUUUCG
rnacentral:lncRNA from 1 species